AACGAACGCUGGCGGCAUGCCUAACACAUGCAAGUCGAACGAGACCUUCGGGUCUAGUGGCGCACGGGUGCGUAACGCGUGGGAACCUGCCCUUAGGUUCGGAAUAACUCCCCGAAAGGGGUGCUAAUACCGGAUAAUGUCUUCGGACCAAAGAUUUAUCGCCUUUGGAUGGGCCCGCGUUGGAUUAGCUAGUUGGUAGGGUAAAAGCCUACCAAGGCGACGAUCCAUAGCUGGUCUGAGAGGAUGAUCAGCCACACUGGGACUGAGACACGGCCCAGACUCCUACGGGAGGCAGCAGUGGGGAAUAUUGGAAUAUCGGCGAAAGCCUGAUCCAGCAAUGCCGCGUGAGUGAUGAAGGCCUUAGGGUUGUAAAGCUCUUUUACCCGGGAUGAUAAUGACAGUACCGGGAGAAUAAGCUCCGGCUAACUCCGUG
rnacentral:rRNA from 1 species